rnacentral:misc_RNA from 1 species
AAGUCGUAACAAGGUUUCCGUAGGUGAACCUGCGGAAGGAUCAUUAACAAAUCAAAAAUGUAGUGCUUCGGCACAAACAUUAGCGCUCUGCCGUGCGCUUUAAACUGCGCGCGGCAUUGUGUAUGUCCUGGUCUCGGAAGCGAGGUUAGGGCAAAAUAGACGCUUGUAUGUUUGACAGAUUUUUAUGAGAAACAAAUUAAAAGACAACUUUUAACAAUGGAUCUCUUGGCUCUU